GAUGAACGCUGGCGGCGUGCUUAACACAUGCAAGUCGAACGGAAAGGCCCAAGCUUGCUUGGGUGCUCGAGUGGCGAACGGGUGAGUAACACGUGGGUGAUCUGCCCUGCACUUCGGGAUAAGCCUGGGAAACUGGGGCUAAUACCGGAUAGGACCACAUUUUGGAUGGUGUGGUGUAAAGUUUUUCGGUGUGGGAUGAGCUCGCGGCCUAUCAGCUUGUUGGUGGGGUAAUGGCCUACCAAGGCGUCGACGGGUAGCCGGCCUGAGAGGGUGUACGGCCACAUUGGGACUGAGAUACGGCCCAGACUCCUACGGGAGGCAGCAGUGGGGAAUAUUGCACAAUGGGCGCAAGCCUGAUGCAGCGACGCCGCGUGGGGGAUGACGGCCUUCGGGUUGUAAACUCCUUUCGCUAGGGACGAAGCGCAAGUGACGGUACCUGGAGAAGAAGCACCGGCUAACUACGUG
rnacentral:rRNA from 1 species